rnacentral:tRNA from 1 species
GCCCCUAUAGUUCAGCCUGGAUAGAAUUUGGGUUUGCGGAACCUAAGACCGGAGUUCAAAUCUCCGUAGGGGCG